UAAAAUUCAAGUCCCAAGCUAAGAACAUGCAUCCAACUUAAUGCUAAAAAUUUUGAAAUUUUCUCUUUUUCCUCAUUUCAGCUCCAAUUCUUCCUGAAAUCAUUAAACACCUUAAUAAGCUCAUAUACACAUGAAACAUGCAAUAAAACUAAAUAUAAUGGAAUCAAAAUAAAUGAAUAAUAUGCACUCAUCAAAUUCCCCCACACUUAGCCUUUUACACGUCCUCGUGUAAACCAAAAGUUUGAUUUCCAAAAAAAUUCUAUUCAACCAUAGUGUCAAAAGAUUUCAAGAUACAAAUAAUGACUAUCAACACUAAAUUUGCAGAAAUCUAAUCAACGCCUUAUCAAUUAACUCACAAUUACCAACUUUACCAUUUCACCAAUGAAUUUCAUUAAAUCAAAUUGUAGCCACAUAAGUAACUUUCCCAAAAUCAUCAUACUUACUCAACUUAGUUACCAUGGAGCAAAAACCAUGCACACUGACUCAUAACCAAGAACAAAUUUUUCUCGCUUUUUAAAUUUUUUCAUAGAACCUUCUUUUUAAGCACAGAUGAAUGUAUUUUCAUGCUUCUUUUUUUCGUAUUUUUUUUUUCUUGACAUGUGCAAUGUCUCCUUUUCUUAGGCUUUUCAGAGUUACCCAUUAGCGAACUUUCCACCAACGACUCCCAAACCAGAUGAUCUUAGGGCGCUAGGUGUAGAGACA
rnacentral:lncRNA from 1 species